rnacentral:rRNA from 1 species
UACGGAGGGUGCAAGCGUUAUCCGGAAUUACUGGGUUUAAAGGGUGCGUAGGCGGCUUGAUAAGUCAGAGGUGAAAGCCUAUCGCUUAACGAUAGAAUUGCCUUUGAUACUGUAAAGCUUGAAAGGGGUUGAGGUCAGCAGAAUGUGGCAUGUAGCGGUGAAAUGCAUAGAUAUGCCAUAGAACACCGAUUGCGAAGGCAGCUGGUUGGGCCUACUUUGACGCUGAGGCACGAAAGCGUGGGGAGCGAACAGG